rnacentral:tRNA from 1 species
UUUUGAAUAUUUUAAUAAAAAUACUAAAUUGUAAAUUUAAAGAUAAACUUGUUGUUUUUCAGAAA